rnacentral:rRNA from 1 species
GACGAACGCUGGCGGCGUGCUUAACACAUGCAAGUCGAACGGUGAAGCGCCUUCCUUUUUGGUGGGGGUGGAUGAGUGGCGAACGGGUGAGUAACACGUGAGUAACCUGCCCCCUUCUUCUGGAUAACCGCAUGAAAGAGUGGCUAAUACGGGAGAUUCUGGGUCUGUCGCAUGAUGGGUCUGGGAGAGAGAUUGUGUCGGUGGGGGAUGGGCUCGCUGCCUAUCAGGUUGUUGGUGGGGUGAUGGCCUACCAAGGCGGUGACGGGUAGCCGGCCUGAGAGGGUGGGCGGCACCACUGGGACUGAGACGCGGCCCAGACUCCGAGGGGAGGCAGUGGGGGGGAUUAUUGAACAAUGGGCGCAAGGCUGAUGCAGCGACGCCGCGUGAGGGAUGGAGGCCUGCGGGUUGUGAACCUCUUUCGCCAGUGAAGCAGGCCUGCCUAGUUUGUGGGUGGGUUGACGGUAGCUGGAGAAGAAGCGCCGGCUAACUACGUG